rnacentral:rRNA from 1 species
GACGGACGCUGGCGGCGUGCUUAACACAUGCAAGUCGAACGGAAAGGCCCUGCUUUUGUGGGGUGCUCGAGUGGCGAACGGGUGAGUAACACGUGAGUAACCUGCCCUUGACUUUGGGAUAACUUCAGGAAACUGGGGCUAAUACCGGAUAGGAGCUCCUGCUGCAUGGUGGGGGUUGGAAAGUUUCGGCGGUUGGGGAUGGACUCGCGGCUUAUCAGCUUGUUGGUGGGGUAGUGGCUUACCAAGGCUUUGACGGGUAGCCGGCCUGAGAGGGUGACCGGCCACAUUGGGACUGAGAUACGGCCCAGACUCCUACGGGAGGCAGCAGUGGGGAAUAUUGCACAAUGGGCGGAAGCCUGAUGUAGCAACGCCGCGUGCGGGAUGACGGCCUUCGGGUUGUAAACCGCUUUCGCCUGUGACGAAGCGUGAGUGACGGCAAUGGGUAAAGAAGCACCGGCUAACUACGUG